GACGAACGCUGGCGGCGUGCUUAACACAUGCAAGUCGAACGGAAAGUCUCUGCUGUUGUUUGGUGCUCGAUUAACUAACGGUUGAGUAACACGGGAUAAACCGUCGCUUAACUUUGUGAUAACGUCAGGUAACUGGUGCUAAUACCGGAUAGUAGCUCCUGCUACAUGUUGUUGGCUGGAAAGUUUCGGUGAGUUGGGAUUGACUCGCGGCUUAUCAGCUUGUCGGUGUGGUAGUUGGUUGGCAAGGCUUGGACGGGUAGCCGGCCUGAGAGGGUGACAGGCCACAUAGGGCCACAGAUACGGCCCAGACUCAUACGGGGGGAAGCAGUGAGGAAUAGUGCACAAUGGGCGGCAGCCGGAUGCAGCAACGCCGCGUGGGAGAUGACGGCCUUAGGGUUGUAACCCGCUUUCGACUGUGACGAAGAGUGAGUGACGGUAAUGUGUAAAGAAGCAACGGCUAACUACGUG
rnacentral:rRNA from 1 species